UACAGAGGGUGCAAGCGUUGUUCGGAAUCACUGGGCUUAAAGGGCGCGUAGGCGGGCUCACAAGUCAGGGGUGAAAUCCCACGGCUCAACCGUGGAAGUGCCUUUGAUACUGUGGGGCUUGAGGGAGGUAGGGGCGUGCGGAACUUCCGGUGGAGCGGUGAAAUGCGUAGAUAUCGGAAGGAACACCAGUGGCGAAAGCGGCUUCCUGGUCCAGCACCGACGUUCAGGCACGAAAGCGUGGGGAGCAAACAGG
rnacentral:rRNA from 1 species